CCUACGGGUGGCUGCAGUGAGGAAUAUUGGACAAUGGACGCAAGUCUGAACCAGCCAUGCCGCGUGCAGGAAGACGGCUCUAUGAGUUGUAAAUUGCUUUUGUACGAGGGUAAACGCCGAUAUGCGUAUCUGUCUCAAAGUAUCGUACGAAUAAGGAUCGGCUAACUCCGUGCCAGCAGCCGCGGUAAUACGGAGGAUUCAAGCGUUAUCCGGAUUGAUUGGGUUUAAAGGGUGCGUAGGCGGUCGGAUAAGUUAGAGGUGAAAUCCAGAGGCUCAACUUCGGAAGUGCAUCUGAUACUGUUCAGCUAGAGUGUAGUUGCGGUAGGCAGAAUGUAAGGUGUAGCGGUGAAAUGCUUAGAGAU
rnacentral:rRNA from 1 species